CGACAGAUUUUGAUCGGAACACAAGUAAAGUUUGUUUCAUUUGUGUGACACCGUCAAAAAAAUAUUCAUAUAGACAGAUAUUUCAUGUAACUGGUUAGAAGGCUAUGUCAUUAUGGCGAUCUGCGUGAUUUAUUUGCGAUAGUUAGUACACAUACUUACAGUUCUAAAAGAUGAAUCGAGUAGUCCCAAACGUUUGCAAGUUGCAUUCAAUACAAAAUUAGCUGAACACACCAUUUUGAAGGACGUUUUGAUGUUUUCCCGACAGAUCCUAAAUCUUUAAUUAUUAAUGUAAGCAUCACUUGAGAAGCGGUAAAAUGACCAAAAGAACUUAGAGAUUGUAGAAGUCAUAAAACGUUAACACUGUCUUCAAUAGCUCAACAGUUUCGAGAAAUUGGUGUAUUUACUAGUUUCCGUAUAAACACAAUCUUCAAUCUAGAUGACAGGAAGACAGUUUCAUGAAAUUUUGAAGUCAUAAAAACGUUAAGCGUCUUCAAUACAAAAACCGCACAACACCAGUCUGGAGGACAUCUUGAUGUUUUUCUAUAUUUCCUCUAAAUCUUUAAUCCUGGUAUUAUUGAUCUACGCAUCACUACUUGAACAGUUGUAAAACAACAAAGUUUUAAAGAGUAGACCGAGAUGUCAUAAAACAUGCCAACACACUGUCUUCAAUACAAAAAUAGCCCAACACAACCAGAUUCAAGGAGGUUCUGAUGCUGUAUUUACAAUUUUAGGUAUAGACCCUAAAUCUUUUAAUCCAGAUGUUUGUAAUGGUGCUCCAUACAAAAAUUUCAAUAGUAGCCCCUAAUGGCCGAUAUAGAAAACGUUUAAUAAUAUGAACUUGGUUUGGUAAUACAGUAGAAGACUUGCAGUGUUAGGAUAUAUUAAGGCAUCUCUGAAAGAAUUGAUGUUGUGGUGUUGACUCUGUAGUUUCGCUGUACUGAAUGAUACAUUUACUUCAAAUUUUUUAA